CCUGUAUCGCUGGUGGUACACGAGGUACCUCUAGUUGGUACCUGAACGUGCAGUAAAUCACCUUGAAUCACACGAGAGGGGGUUUUGCCAUGUUGACCAGGCUGGUCUCGAACUCCUGACCUCAAGUGAUCCGCCUGCCUCGACCUCCCGAAGUGUUGGGAUUAUAGGUGUGAGCCACUGUGCCUGGCCCUAGAAGUUGGUUUUGACCCCAGGUCUGUCUUGACCAAGGUCCCUGUUCUUUCCUUGGCUUGUUCUGAUGGGGGUAGGGGAAAGUGAGGAAGGAUGGGAAUGAUUCGGGGUGGCAGGGGGAUGGUAGGUACGGGGGCUAAGAGGGGGAUCUAUAGCCAGACUGGUCUGCCUGGCUCCACAUCCCAGCCCUGCCUCUCGGGCACAUUGCCGACCUUCUCUGACCUUCUCUAUGCCUCAGUUUCCUCCCUGAAUAGGAGUUUUGUGUUGAUUGUAUGAGAAGAGAAGAUGUGUAAAACGCCCAGCACAACGAAUCAUCACACUUACCUCAUGGGGUUGUUGUGAAGAGUACGAGAGUUAAGUUUAGUUCAGGGAACUUUUAGAACAGAACCUGCAGGCAGGAAGCGCUCAUGAGCAUCGACCACGAAUAUUGUUCUUUUUCCCUUCCCUCUCCUUCAUGGGUGUGCACUGAGCUGCGGUUGCUUUGAAAUUGCUGCAUCUACAGUGACUUUGCAGAUGGUUUUCUUCUGCAGACUGACCCCAGUGAUACGCUCUUGCUGGGUGUCUGGAGAACUACAGCUUGUUUCCUCUGGGAAUCAUGAGACCAGUGGAGUGGAGGCUAGCUAGUCUCCUCUAACAGUGGCUGGCCUGAGCUCCACACCAUAUUUCCUGUCAGACCCCACUUGUAGGCAGAGCUAACAUGGGCACUGCCCUCCUGGGCCUGAUGUCAGGGAAACCUCCCCACAAAGUCAGGCUGGCUCUUAGAAGGGUGGGGACAUGUAGUAGGAGGGCUCCCGACCACCUGACCUGUGGCGUUGCUUCUUGCCUGGCAUUUUGGAGGGGCUGAGGCCCAUGGUGGGAUUUUUCAGCAGCCGGGGUCCUGGACAGCUCCUGCAUUCAUCCAGGGAUAUUGGUUGCAAGCAAUAGAAACUGAUUCAGGCUAUCUGAAGAAAAGUUAACUGUAGAGAAGGAAACUGAGGCUUCACUGAAUCAACCAGAGGGGAAGCACCAGAUGUGGGGAUGAUCUGGUUUGCUGCAGCCACAUUCAAAAGCUCAUUUCUCCUUGGAUCACUGGCUCUAGCUUGGAGGUUCUGGAAAAGAGCAUCUUAUUGGAAUAACGUGGAUCAGGGGUUAAUAACAUGGGAACCAGGCUGCAGAGCAGGAGGUGAGCAGGAGGCAAGUGAGUGAAGCUUCAUCUGUAUUUACAAUCGCUCCCCAUUGCUUGAAUUACCACCAGAGCUCUGCCUCCUGUCAGAUCAGUGACCACAUUAGAUUCUCAUGGGAGCAUGAACCCCACUGUGAACUGCGCAUGUGCGGGAUCUUGGUUGCACGCUCCUUAUGAGAAUCUAAUGCCUGAUGAUCUGUCACUGUCUCCCAUCACCCCCAGAUGGGACCUUCUGGUUGCAGGAAAACAAGCUUAAGGCUCCCACUGAUUCUACAUGAUGUGCUCAACUGUGGAUUAUUUCACUGAUUGCCCAGCAAGCCUAGGAGGUAUGCAUCAUAACCUUGGUUUCGUGGGUAAGAACCUGAGACAUAGUGACUCGUGAGUGGAGAACUGGAAUUCAAGCCAGGGUGGACUCAGUGGGAGACCCAAACAACCAGGAUAUUUGCCGAGGCUGGAAUGGGCACGAGAUGCUCAGAGGAAGCGGAGUGGGCCCUCCUCGUGGACUCCAAGCUCCCAGGAGGGAAAACGUGAAACAACUGGAAAUGUGAACCAACUGCUGCCCCAAACACACACACACACACACACACACACACACACACACACACACCCCCAAAGGAAAACAAGAAAAUAAACCAGCUACAUA